rnacentral:rRNA from 1 species
AUGGCCUCCAAGAUCUUCCGCGCCGUCGUCAUCGCGGCCGUCGCCGUGUCUUCCUUCGCCGGGGUCGCUCUGGCCGCCGACGAGCCCGCGCCCAGCCCGACGUCCGGCGCCGCAGCUGUCUCCUCGUCGCUCGUCGCCGCCGUGCUCUGCCCGGCCGUGGCGUUCCUCGUUGGCAGCAUGCGCCACUGA